GACGAACGCUGGCGGCGUGCUUAACACAUGCAAGUCGAACGGUGAAGCGCCUUCCUUUUUGGUGGGUGUGGAUGAGUGGCGAACGGGUGAGUAACACGUGAGUAACCUGCCCCCUUCUUCUGGAUAACCGCAUGAAAGUGUGGCUAAUACGGGAUAUUCUGGGUCUGUCGCAUGAUGGGUCUGGGAAAGAUAUUGUUUCGGUGGGGGAUGGGCUCGCGGCCUAUCAGCUUGUUGGUGGGGUGAUGGCCUACCAAGGCGGUGACGGGUAGCCGGCCUGAGAGGGUGGACGGUCACACUGGGACUGAGACACGGCCCAGACUCCUACGGGAGGCAGCAGUGGGGAAUAUUGCACAAUGGGCGCAAGCCUGAUGCAGCGACGCCGCGUGAGGGAUGGAGGCCUUCGGGUUGUGAACCUCCUUCGCCAGUGAAGCAGGCCUGCCUCGUUUGUGGGUGGGUUGACAGUAGCUGGAUAAGAAGCGCCGGCUAACUACGUG
rnacentral:rRNA from 1 species